rnacentral:ncRNA from 1 species
AGCGCUUGCUCUCAUGCGCCCUGGUGCGUGAGAGGACGAGGAGAAGGUUGUCGAAUCAUCAGCGGAUGCCUUCCGGCCGGUCCGGCCGACAGAUCUUCGUGAAAACUCCUGUGCAAGCGGGACGACAAAACGAAGAG